rnacentral:rRNA from 1 species
UGAGGUGACUUCUGCCCAGUGCUCUGGUUGUCAAUGCCAAGAGAUUGAGCCAAGCGCGGGUAAACGGCGGGAGUAACUAUGACUCUCUUAAGGUAGCCAAAUGCCUCGUCAACCAAUUAUUGACGCGCAUGAAUGGAUCAACGAGAUUCCUGCUGUCCCUAGCUGCUACCUGGUGAACCAACAGCCAAGGGAACGGGCUUGGAUGUGUCAGCGGGGAAAGAAGACCCUGUUGAGUUUGACUCUAGCUUGCUGCUGUGCAACGACAUGUGGGGUGUAGCACAGGUGGGAGGCCAGUGCCAUCAGCAGAGGAUGAUGAAUGGGGAAGAUCUGUGUGUGGACUCUCUCUGUGAUCUCUGUGUGAGGAUGAUGGUGCAAACCAGCAGUGAAAUACCACUACCUUCACCGUCGUUUUGCUCAGUGAGUGGCUUGGGACUGGUGGCCAUUGGACAUCAACUGCUGCAUUCAACUGUGGUGGUUGUGGCCUGAACCCACUUCGUGUGCCAAGCAUGGCUGCCCCAGUGGUGGCUGUGUGACCCUGUGGGGUGAUGAACCCUGUCCAUGUUUGCUUGGAGCCUCGGGACAAUGAGCAGCUGGGGAGUUUGGCUGGGGCGGCACGCCGGUUACACCACAACGCCGGCGUCCUGAAGCAUUGCUCAGAUGGAACAGAAAUCUCCCAUGGAGGAGAAGGCCAAAGGUGCUGCUGAUGUGUUGACUUCCAGUGCAAGUCCAGAACAUGCAAGUGUGGCCUAGCGAUCCUUUGGUUAAGUGCACGGGUUUGAGACAUUGAAGCCAGAGGUGUCAGAAAAAUUACCACAGGGAUAACUGGCUUGUGGCUGCCAAGCGUUCAAAGCGACGUGGCUUUUUGAUCCUUCGAUGUCGGCUCUUCCUAGCUUUGCACCCGCAGCUGAGUCAAAGAGUUGGA